rnacentral:rRNA from 1 species
CGCGUAGGCGGCUGGGUAAGUCAAAUGUGAAAUCCCGAGGCUCAACCACGGAAUUGCGUUUGAAACUGCCUGGCUUGAGUCCCGGAGAGGGUAGUGGAAUUCCCAGUGUAGCGGUGAAAUGCGUAGAUAUUGGGAGGAACACCAGUGGCGAAGGCGACUACCUGGACGGGUACUGACGCUGAGGCGCGAAAGCGUGGGGAGCAAACAGGAUUAGAUACCCUGGUAGUCCACGCCGUAAACGAUGGGCACUUGGUGUUGCGGGUAUCGACCCCUGCAGUGCCGAAGCUAACGCAUUAAGUGCCCCGCCUGGGGAGUACGGUCGCAAGGCUGAA